GUGAGUAACACGUGAGUAACCUGCCCUUGACUCUGGGAUAACCUCCGGAAACGGAAGCUAAUACCGGAUAUGACGCACGGAGGCAUCUCCUGUGCGUGGAAAGAACUUCGGUCAAGGAUGGACUCGCGGCCUAUCAGGUAGUUGGUGAGGUAACGGCCCACCAAGCCUACGACGGGUAGCCGGCCUGAGAGGGUGACCGGCCACACUGGGACUGAGACACGGCCCAGACUCCUACGGGAGGCAGCAGUGGGGAAUAUUGCACAAUGGGCGCAAGCCUGAUGCAGCAACGCCGCGUGAGGGACGACGGCCUUCGGGUUGUAAACCUCUUUUAGUAGGGAAGAAGCGAAAGUGACGGUACCUGCAGAAAAAGCACCGGCUAACUACGUGCCAGCAGCCGCGGUAAUACGUAGGGUGCGAGCGUUGUCCGGAAUUAUUGGGCGUAAAGAGCUCGUAGGCGGUCUGUCGCGUCUGCUGUGAAAACCCGAGGCUCAACCUCGGGCCUGCAGUGGGUACGGGCAGACUAGAGUGCGGUAGGGGAGAAUGGAAUUCCUGGUGUAGCGGUGGAAUGCGCAGAUAUCAGGAGGAACACCGAUGGCGAAGGCAGUUCUCUGGGCCGUAACUGACGCUGAGGAGCGAAAGCGUGGGGAGCGAACAGGAUUAGAUACCCUGGUAGUCCACGCCGUAAACGUUGGGCGCUAGAUGUGGGGACCAUUCCACGGUUUCCGUGUCGCAGCUAACGCA
rnacentral:rRNA from 1 species